CGGGAGGCAGCAGUGAGGAAUAUUGGUCAAUGGGCGCGAGCCUGAACCAGCCAAGUCGCGUGAGGGAUGAAGGUUUAUGGAUCGUAAACCUCUUUUAUAAGGGAAUAAGUGCGGGACGUGUCCCGUUUUGUAUGUACCUUAUGAAUAAGGAUCGGCUAACUCCGUGCCAGCAGCCGCGGUAAUACGGAGGAUCCGAGCGUUAUCCGGAUUUAUUGGGUUUAAAGGGUGCGUAGGCGGCCUUUUAAGUCAGCGGUGAAAGUCUGUGGCUCAACCAUAGAAUUGCCGUUGAAACUGGGAGGCUUGAGUAUGUUUGAGGCAGGCGGAAUGCGUGGUGUAGCGGUGAAAUGCUUAGAUAUCACGCAGAACCCCGAUUGCGAAGGCAGCCUGCCAAGCCAUGACUGACGCUGAUGCAC
rnacentral:rRNA from 1 species